rnacentral:lncRNA from 1 species
UGUCUUUGGAGUAAUUUAGUGUAUAUUUCUAUGAUUUUGUGAAUUUUGGUUGUCGUUUUGUGUGUCUCUGUUGACAUUUUCCGUCUUUCUCUAUCAUUUUGUGUAUUCCUUUUGGAGGCCACGCAAAAUUAGAUUGAGGGCCUCAUUUGGCCCUCGGACCACCAGUUGCAUGUGUCUGGACUGUUUUUCAGAUCAGAGAAGAUGACAUUUUUGUGGCCCCGCUGUGACGUCACUAGUGCAGAAAUACGGAGCAGGGAACUAUCUUGACCCGAAAGUUUAUCUUUGUUUAAAUCAAAACAAGCUGAGGCUCAAUCCUCAGCCUCUGGUUGGUGGUUGUCUCUUGGGGGCGGGGAAAGGGGCGGGACCUCCGGCUGUGGUCGGUUGAGAGUUUGAAUGAGAAUAAAGUGUCAUGGUGAAGGUUUCACACUGAGAGAAGAACAACAGCAGCAGCUAAAAACGUGGAAAAGACAUAGAAUCAAAGACGGAUCAUCUGAAGCAAACAUGUUAAAAACAAUCUGCCACUUCCUGUUUGGAGGAGCGGAGAAUGGGAGCCAAGGAGGAACUGAGGAAGAGGAAGAGGAAGAGGAAGGCUGGCACGUUGUCACUCAUCAAGAAGCAGAAUUAGCAGAAAAUCCAGAUGUUGUGCAUCAAAGAGAAGCUCCUCUAAACCUGGACACUGACAGCGUAUUAAAGGCACGGUCCUCUACUCUAAGCAGCAGCAGCAGCAGCACAUCUGCCCAGCUGUUAUUCUCCCAGCCUAAAGCUACUGCAGAGAUAGCUCAGCUAACAUGUGUUCAGAAGGCCAAAGCCUGGGCUCAUCGACACCACGAGUCCCGGAACGCCUUCCAGCGCCAAAACCGUGUGCGUGGAGGAGUCCAAACGCAGCUUUUCUACGUGCAGCAGCCGAGCCAUCGUCACCACUGACACUAAACAUCCCUAAACAUUAAACCUGACACACAAUCAGACCAAACAAGAGAAACGUCAUUGAUUUCUGCUUUAAUCUUUAGAUGAGAUCGACAGCACUUAUACCUAUUUUUUUGGACAUUUUGCAACUUGUUUUUUUCAGACUUUAGCUACGUUUUGCCAAUAAAUAUCUCUUUUUUUUCCUAUUUUCUGUCCA